CACUGUGAAGCUAAUAAAGCAUUAACCUUUUAAGUUAAAGAUAGAAAGAAAGUAAUCUCUCCACAGUGA
rnacentral:tRNA from 1 species